rnacentral:rRNA from 1 species
GAUGAACGCUAGCGAUAGGCCUAACACAUGCAAGUCGAGGGGCAGCACAUGAGUAGCAAUACGAUGGUGGCGACCGGCGCACGGGUGAGUAACACGUAUGCAACCUACCUUUAACAGGGGAAUAACCCGUUGAAAAACGGACUAAUACUCCAUAACACAGGGGUCCCGCAUGGGAAUAUUUGUUAAAGAUUUAUCGGUUGAAGAUGGGCAUGCGUUCCAUUAGCUUGUUGGUGAGGUAACGGCUCACCAAGGCUACGAUGGAUAGGGGAACUGAGAGGUUUAUCCCCCACACUGGAACUGAGACACGGUCCAGACUCCUACGGGAGGCAGCAGUGAGGAAUAUUGGUCAAUGGAGGCAACUCUGAACCAGCCAAGUCGCGUGAAGGAUGAAGGUCUUAUGGAUUGUAAACUUCUUUUGCAAGGGAAUAAAGUGGGGGACGUGUCCUCCUUUGCAUGUACCUUGCGAAUAAGGAUCGGCUAACUCCGUGCCAGCAGCCGCGGUAAUACGGAGGAUCCGAGCGUUAUCCGGAUUUAUUGGGUUUAAAGGGUGCGCAGGCGGGAUGUUAAGUCGGCGGUGAAAUUUUGCAGCUCAACUGUAAAAGUGCCUUCGAUACUGGCUUUCUUGAGUGUGGAUGAAGUAGGCGGAAUUUGUGGUGUAGCGGUGAAGUGCUUAGAUAUCACGAGGAACUCCGAUUGCGCACGCAGCUUACUAAACCACUACUGACGCUCAUGCACGAACGCGUGGGGAUCAAACA